rnacentral:rRNA from 1 species
UACGGGAGGCAGCAGUGGGGAAUAUUGCACAAUGGGCGAAAGCCUGAUGCAGCUAUGCCGCGUGUAUGAAGAAGGCCUUAGGGUUGUAAAGUACUUUCAUCGGGGAGGAAAAACAAAACUAAUAAUUUUAUUUCUUGACGUUACCCGAAAAAGAAGCACCGGCUAACUCCGUGCCAGCAGCCGCGGUAAUACGGAGGGUGCUAGCGUUAAUCAGAAUUACUGGGCGUAAAGAGCACGUAGGUGGUUUUUUUAAGUCAGAUGUGAAAUCCCUGGGCUUAACCUGGAACUGCAUUUUGAAACUGAAAUACUAGAGUAUCGUAGAGGGAGGUAGAAUUCUAGGUGUAGCGGUGAAAUGCGUAGAUAUCUGGAGGAAUACCUGUGGCGAAAGCGGCCUCCUAAACGAAUACUGACACUGAGGGUGCGAAAGCGUGGGGAGCAAACGAGGGAUUAGAUACCCGU